UCAUUAUGGUCACAGAUUUGUCAGGUAGGGCAGACUUGGAGGAAGUUGGUCAGGAGAGGGAAGAGAAUGAAAGAGCAGCUGGAGAAACAGAAGGAUGACACAGGUGACACAAGCAGGGGAGGAUGGCCAGUCCCCACGGAUACCUUGACUCCUUAGCUUGCUGAGACAGUUGCAGUGCAAUCUGAGAGAACCGUUAUCCAACCAUCUACCAACCCCCAGGAAGUGCAACAAACUCAAAAUCUGCUCACAGGGAAAACAGCAGAAGGAAAAUAUAGGAAGAGUUUACAUACAGAUAAAUGGGGAACAUAUUCUGUAAAACAGAUCUUUGGAUGGGAAGAUCUGUAUCAGGUGAUGGGGAGUUAAAAGAGCAAAAAGGAUGAAGAGGGGACUGAGAGAAGAGAAACAAAAUAGAAAAAGGAAAAGAGGAUGGAGAAUGAAGAAGAAAAGGCAAGGAACAUGGGAAGCCUGGCAGGGAAUUCUGAUUAUCAACAGUACACCCCAAAGUAGGAUUCCUAGUGAAAAAUCAGUGAGUGUAUUAUUACCUGCAAUCCAAAGCCAUGUCAUUGUAUGUGUAUAGAAUGUGAUAUCUAGGUGCAACCGUUCUGUAUCUUCUGGAUAUAUGUAAAACUUAAUAAUGGAAAAAUUGGAAGUUCCUCUUUGAUUCUGCCAAGAAAGUCCAAAGAGAUCUGGAAUAAGAGAACUGUAUCAACGAGGAAGAAUUUGAGAAAAGUUGGAGAAAGAGAAAAUGUUAAGUCUCUAGUAGCUGUUAAGUACCAGGAUUGAAAAGCUACACUGGAGAACACCUGACUGGCUUAGUGGGUAGGGUAUGUGUCUCUUGUUCUCAGGGUCAUCAGUUCAGGCUUCAUGUUGGGUGUAGAAUUUACUUAAAAAAAAAAA